rnacentral:misc_RNA from 1 species
GAUGAAGAACGUAGCGAAAUGCGAUACUUGGUGUGAAUUGCAGAAUCCCGUGAACCAUCGAGUCUUUGAACGCAAGUUGCGCCCGAAGCCAUUAGGCCGAGGGCACGCCUGCCUAGGCGUCACACGUCGUUGCCCCCCCAUCUACUCCUUCGGGAUUGCGGGGGGCGGAUGAUGGCCUCCCGUGCGCCUCGUCGCGCGGUUGGCAUAAAUGCCAAGUCCUCGGCGACACACGCCACGACAAUCGGUGGUUGCGAAACCUCGGUUGCCCGUCGUGUGCGGUCGUCGCGCAUCGAGGGCUCGAAAAAAUUGCCGGGCUCCGGCUCGGCUUUCAACGCGACCCCAGGUCAGGCGGGGUUACCCGCUGAAUUUAAGCAUAUCAAUAAGCGGAGGA